rnacentral:misc_RNA from 1 species
GAAAUGCGAUAAGUAGUGUGAAUUGCAGAAUUCAGUGAAUCAUCGAAUCUUUGAACGCACAUUGCGCCCCUUGGUAUUCCAUGGGGCAUGCCUGUUCGAGCGUCAUUUGUACCCUCAAGCUCUGCUUGGUGUUGGGUGUUUGUCCCCGUCUCCGCGCGUGGACUCGCCCCAAAGUGAUUGGCAGCCGGCGUACUGGUCCCGGAGCGCAGCACAUGUCGCGCAAACGAGUGCCUUGGUACGGCGGCGUCCAUAAGCCCCUCUCUCACGCUCUUGACCUCGGAUCAGGAAGGGAUACCCGCUGAACUUAAGC